CAAGAAUGCCGCCUCAUGCACUUUUGCGCCAGUGAUUGUUGGAUGAAGACAGGGAUCUGUCGCGCAUUUGGGGCUGCAUACGGCAAAUUCACCGCAGAGGCCUCUCCCUAUUUGAGAUGCUCUGCCAAAUGAAGCUAACAGGCAGCAGAUGAUUCCCUCAGCAAAUGCAGAUCAGGUAUCUCAAAGACCCUAUAAUGAGAAGGCAGUGUUAUCUAUUAAUUCUCUUAUUAUAGAAAUAAUAAUUCCGUGCAAAACCAAAAUUACGAGAAAUAUUUUGGAAAGCCUUAGAUGCAGGAACCUAAGUAUCCAAUCUACCGUCAAAUAAUGAUACGAACUAUUAAUGCCAUCAGUUCAAAGAUCUAUAGCAAUAACUAAGAAGAAACAGAGUUGUAACCUUAUCCAGAUUUUUCACUUUGUAUGGCAUCGAUUCUUCAAUCAAACUUCAAAUUGAUCUAGUAGUGAACAACCGGUGGAUAUGCUUAACACACCCCUAUUCACAGUGAAGGCACGGGAUACCGACAGAUAAGGUAAGAGAUGGUGAUUUAACCCAUUGAAUCUUAAUAUAGUGAUUUAACCCGUUAAAUGUGGAUUGUAGAAAUUGGAGUCACAAUUCCAUGGAACAGAGGGAGUCUGGAGUUGUCUCUGAUACCAUCAAAUCGACGCUGAUAGGAAACAAACAAGGAAUCUGCUUUAUAUCUUUCACUUAAUCUUCUUAGAUGUCCUCCUUUUAAUUAUGAAAAUGUAGACCAUAGACAAUAUAGAAACAACACGUCUGCAUAAUUUUCUUACCAAAUUAUGAAUAAAUGCAUUCAAGGGGAUGAUAUAUGGGAAGAGACUUAUUGCAGGCAACAGCUACUGCUUAUUGGAGGCAGCAGCAACUUUCAUGGGGCCGCCUCCUGCUAUCACUUCACUAGCUCUUCAUCCAAAGCCCAUAAAACUGCUAACGGGGCAUCAUCAGAAAAGAGUAACAGGCCUCGCCAAGUUAUGCAUAUGGGAAACAACCGGAGGGGAACAUACACAUACCAAGAGUAUGCAAAUAAGUGACGCAGAGGCAAAGGUUCAGUUCUACUUCUAUCAAGUCUAGGCGUCGGCCGUCCAUCCGGAACGGUUAGCUACAUAUAAUGCAGCAAAUCAUUGCUGGUGAAGACAGUGGCCGAUGUUGUCAACCAUAAAAGAGCACGUUACGGAUGCAGCACUGUCGAGCAACGGCUUGACGGUAUUCGCGAGCUUUGUAGACCAACGUGUGGGCAUACAUCUUUGAUCUGCUUCUCGAACUGGCGGGUGUGAUUAGACCUGCAGCAUAUCUCGAGACCCAAAGGUAAUCUUCUUUACGCGCGCCGAGGCCUUAACUAGUCUAAAAUUCCACACAUAAACACACACUCUCUCUCUCUCUCUCACACACACACAAAUUCUGAUGUUGUUACUGUUUCCAGUUUAGAUGCAUACCCGACCAUAGCAACCCAAAUUGCACUGGGAAUGUCCAACGGUGAUGUCAUAGUUAUCGAGCCUUGUAAUUCACCGCCGCUGUCGCCAGAGAGUCCGGCUGUGCUGCUGGGAAAGAAGCAAUGCUGAACAGUCUGAGCAGAUCAGCGGGCUGAUGAUCAGUGCGCGCAGCAACAAACAGGAUAUCUAUCAAAUCAAAUCCGGAGCUUUUGCCCGCGUGUUUUUUCUUUUUCAAGAGAAUCGGAAGCCUAGUCCACUACAAUUGUAGUGGGACAAAAAUUUUAUGGACAUUGUUUCCGAACUAAUUAGUUUGGAGACUGUGCAGAUCGGCGCCACGUGGCCGAUC